rnacentral:tmRNA from 1 species
GGGGGCGCAAUGGUUUCGACGGGGAUUUUGAAGCCGGAUAAGCGAGUCGAAGUGCAGAACUUCGUUAAAAGCUGCAAAUUUAAAAUUAAACGCUAACACUAAUUUAGCUUACGCAGCCUAACUAAGGCUGCCGUCUGUACCAUGAGUACCGCGGCAUGGAUACGGGCGUCGAUUAGCGGUGAACGUGCGUGGGCAACUCCGGUAACCCGCCAUGAAAAACCGGAUACCAAGUAUGCAAGCCCGCCGUUUGGCGUGCAUAUAAGGAAAAUUUAAAUUUACGGCUACACUCGUAGAAAGUCCUGUGAAUAGGUUUUCGGACAGGGGUUCGACUCCCCUCGCCUCCACCA